GAGGGCCCGGACAGUCUUUGUUUAACUCAAUGCACACAGAUCCCAGCUCUAAUCAUAAACUCUGCUGGUGAUGAUGAAGAGAGGAUUUAUAUAUAGAACCCAGAGCCCAAGACACAGAAACACGAGCACACAUCUGCAGUGGGUUCCAUGGCAAGGCACCCAGUUUUCUCCAGCAAGACUGAAAAAUCUACCUUGUCAUGUUAAAGUCUCAGCUCUGCCUCGCCAAGAAGGACUCCUCUGGGCAUUUUAUAUGAACUACAUGAACUUUGCUCAGACUUCGAGGGAGCGACUCCUCAACGUCUCCAUGAUUAUUUUAUACCUGAAACUUCACAGCCCUGGCUGGUGAUUUUCCAAGAUCUGAAUUGAUAAGAUUUAUUUCCAUGCAUCAAAAAGUAGAAAUAUCAAAAGCCACAUAGAGCAGUUCAGUUUC
rnacentral:lncRNA from 1 species